CCUGUUCUCUGAACAUGAGGGCAGCAGCCCGGCUUACAGCAUGGAGAGAAGAAACAGCACUGGGCCCUGGCAUCCCCAGAGGUGUGAAUGUCCCCUUUGACCAGACAUGGGUAUCUGAUCUCUGCCCACAAAAGUCACAAGACGAAGAGGCUGCGCAGUGAACCGCCCAAGACAUGUGCUCUGCAGGUAGGAUGUCCACCUGGCAUCUUUCCCUGGUUUUAGCCGAUGGUGGUAUCCACAGCAGGAAGUUGGCCUGGAUCCUUUUCUAUAUUCCAUUCCUUAUAAGGUAAUUCCACCCCUGCUACUGCCCUCCCCACCUGAAAGCUACAGAUGCUCACACAGGCUCCUCCUCUUAACCCUGCCCUGCAGAAGCUGAUGAAGCCUUCGCCCUGGGGCGGGAACAAAGCAAUGAGUUUAAACAGAACUCAAGCUACUGCUGGCAAGAAUAUAAAUAAAUAUUUAGAUGGAGGUGUGUGUGUGUGUGUGCGUGUGCGUGUGUGUGUGUGUGUGUGUUUGGGGGGGGCGGUUGCUGAAAACCAUCAGCAGUCAGCACCCUUCCGGGGGUGCCUUUUAGUCUUUCUCAUAGGGUUCUGCUAUCACGAAACAGUUUAUCAUUGAAUCUGGGUUUCGCAAGAUGAAAAGGUCGAGGCCCCGUCCUCCAAAACAAAACAAGAGAACUGAACAAAAUGGGCCUCCCUCCUAUUCCCAGAGUUAUGACAGGCGGCGGCAGAAGCAGAGAACUACCUGUCCCUGGAAACUGCCUGACUGGCACGAAAACGCGGGCACUGGCCUGGGCCGCUUUGGGACAGCCGGGUCUCCGCUCCUCGCCUACCGGGGAGGUUCGGCCCGGGGAAGUCCCGCCCGGAGACAUCCGCCCUCCAGACUGACCAGUGGAGCGGCCAGUCCCGGGGGCGGGGGCCGGGCGGCGGAGAUGAGUCACGGCGGCCUUGGCACAGCGCUGGCCCUUCUCGACCGGUCCAGGGGCGUGCACCGGGCGGGGCUGGAGCCUGGCCCAGCUUGGCCCGGAGAGGAAGGGCCAGGCCUGGGCAGCUCGGCUCUGGCCGGUGCAGCCCGACAAUGACCCCGGGGUCAGGCCGGGCCCGGGACCCGCGGGGAGGGGAGCGAUGCCGGCCCACCACCCUCGCCCCGCGCGUCUGCCCGCCAGAGGCCCAAGGCCGGCUGUUACCUGCUGCCGCCGCUGCUCCGUGCGGGACCGGGGACGUUCGAGGCCAGCCGCGCCUCCCGGGCGCACCCUCUUACCGCGUCGGAAUCCGGGGAGGUGCGGUCGGCGCAGGGACCCGGGGCGCGCGGGGAACUGCGGACGGCGGAUUGGCGGACAAUGCGGCCCGCGCAGAACCGCGCUGCGCAAGUGGGGCCGGACGGCGCGCGCGUGGCCGAGUGUGUUAUGUGUGCGCCUGUCAGUCAACGCUGACAGACCGCAGCCCAUUGGUCAGACCCCGCCCGCGUCACCGCCCACUGCCACUGCCCAUUGGGCGGUUUGAACACAAAGGCUCCGGCUCGCCCCGCCCGCCGCGUGGGCCAAACGGGCGGGGCAAGGCCAGACAAGAAUCGCGCGUGGGAGGUGCGAGUGACUGGGUAACCCCUGGGCGCUGGUGGACUCGGAUGGAGCCGGCAAGCGGGGGCUCGACCUGGCCUGACUUCGCACUUGACUCCCGGUCUGGUUGCUCAAAACACUUGAGCCCUGUCCUGGUACUGCCUCAUGCGCCUCACCCCACCCGCGGCCUUCUGGGGCCCAGCUCUCGGCAAGAUGACGCGACAGGGCCGGGGUGCCAGGACCUUAAAGGUAUUGAAGAUGGCACGAGGAAGUGGGGAGCAGGGGAGAUUGACAACCCCUGGCCUAAGACCCACCUGGAGGGGUAGCGUGUAGUUAGCCCUUAGAGGACCUCCCCAAAACGAUUGUUGGAAUCUCUUGCGUAACUGUUUUCUUAGGCAUUUCUACACUUUUGUUUUUUUUUACAGAUCAGGAAACAGGUUCAUAGAGUUUUUAAGUGAUUUGCUUAGUCACACAGCUUCAACGAGGCAAAACUGAGAUUAGAAGCUUCUCUCCAUAUCCAAGCCCCCCCCCUUUUUUUUUUCCAUUUUGGGAUUGAUUUUGGGAUUCCAGACUUGGCAGGAAGCUCUGCCACUUCUCAGUCUGCCCUCAGAGGCCCCCAAAUUUCAUGGCAGAAGCUUUUCUUCAUUUGAAGGAGGAUGCUUGCCCCAGUUGGUGCUGAGAAGGCAAGGCUGGUUACCUGUUCCUCUGCUUUACUCAAAUCUGAGUGUGGAAAGAGUACUUGAUAGAUACGGAAUGAAUACCAUGCUGCCUGACUUCAAGGGUCCUGUGCUCCCCCCUGGCUCCCCACUGGCCAACUCUACAGAUGCAGAAAGUGCCCAGCUUGGGAGGAGUCACUUCCUGGCAAGCUCUUCUAAGGGAAGAUGAAACUGUUGUUACUUCACUUUUAAAGUGCCAAGAGGAAGAGACGAGAAAUAAUGAAAUCAGGACAGGAAGAUGCUGGGGGUAGGGGAUUGAGGAAAUGUGAAGCCCCUUGUGCUAAGUCGACUCCAUACAAAGAUGACCCCCUGAUCCCUGGGUCUCCACUGCCCCACCCGGAAAAGAGGGGCCUCACCUGCAGUUACAAUCUAUUGAAGACAACAGUACUUGCCUCUGGGGUUAGGCUUUGAGCCCCCUGAAGACAAGGGCUGGCUCAUGUCUGAGUAUCUGCUGAACAUGGGAUGAGUGAAGUGAGAAUUGAAAUCAGAUUUAGAGUCAGCCUCCAGGUAAGGGAGGGGCCUUCUCUUGACACCUUCUCCACCCCAAGGAGCUUAAUGCCUCAGUUCUGUCCUAGCCAAUUCCAGUGGAGUCUCCAUAUCCCGCCACCUCCGUUGCAGAGCCUGCUUCACUCCUUUCCAAGGAUCCUGGCAGAAGGACCCCCUUCCCAGGAUGUGCUGGUUUGUAAAGCAAGAGGCCAUGUGCCUUCCACUGGUCUCAGGCAAGGGCCAUGGCCACAGGCUGGCUAGAGGCAGCCCUCUACUAAACUGUGUUGCCUCUGUGGGCCUGUAGUAGGUAAAUAAUGGGCCCCAAAGAUAUUAGGUCCUAAUUCUUGGAACCUGUGAAUGUUACCAUACAUGGAAAGUCUUUGCAGAUGCGAUUAAAGGAAGGAUUUUGAGAUGGGGAGAUUAUCCUGGAUUAUCAGAGUGGGCUCUAAAUGUAAUCACCAGUGUCCUUUUAAGAGAAAGGCAGAGGAGAAGAGGAGGGGGCAAUGUGACCACAGAAACAAAUUGGAGUGUGCGGCCACGAGACAAGGAAUGCUGGCAGCCACUGGAAGCUGGGAGAAGCCAGGGACGGAGUGUCUCCUAGAGUCUCCAGAGGGAGCAAGGCCCUGCCAACACCUUGACUUUCGUCCAGUGAUUUUGGUUUUGGACUUCUGGUCUUCUCAACUAUGAGAGAAUAAAUCUCUGUUGUUUUAAGUCA